rnacentral:lncRNA from 1 species
AUGGAAUGUGAAAGACCAGACCCUGCACUUUUACAGUUUCCACACUGGCUCUUGGCAACCAUCAGUAUACACAUCCUACCUAUGCAACCUGAGUGUUCUAACACACUCAUCCCACAGACUGAGUGCCAGGGUCAUCAUGCUAACAGCCAGAGGGAAAAACAGCCAUUUUUGCUGUGGACUAGGAUUUGGGGAACCUUAAAAAGAGAAGUGUCUGCCUGGGAAUCCAUGACUGGUUUUACACUAAGCCUUGUUCCUUGCUGGGACCGGACACUAUUUAGUCAAUUCUGUGCAGACCUGCAAUCCAGCUGUGUAAGUUCAAUACUGCUACUAGGUUUCACCUGAAUACCCAGACCUUGCAAAUUAAUUUUUUGCUUACUGGAACAUGAGACACUACAGGGUUUCUGAAGCUGCCAAAGAGAGAAAAAGUAAAAUUCAUGAGCUCUUCAGCCAUGGCUGAGGAACAGAAAUGUGCAGUUAGAGAGAUGGUUAUUUAUUUUGUAUAUGUUGUUAUUAAAAUCCUAUGAAUUAUUUAGAAAAUAUGAAUGUAUAGGUAUAUCUUUUACAAAGGGAUUAAAGUUGUGAACUUGUAUGUUUUACAAUCUCCUCUAUAUUCUAUAAUGUACCUGAGACCAGCCCUGUCUAUCUGCUGAUCUGUGUUGAUCCAAGCCUCACUCACUUCCUUUGGAUGUAUGCUGCAACCACAGUUUUUGACCAAGCAAGAAAUUUCUAAUUUCUCCUGUGAAAACUAGAAACUACAAACUUCUUUUGGAACAGCGCAGACAAAGAAUCACUGUAUUUUUUUUCAGUAAUGUCUGUUUGACUUGGAAGGAAGAGAGGCUCAAGUAAACUGCAAUUAUCCUAUUGUUCUGUUGCUUCCAUGAGAGUGUUUGGAAAUAUUCCAUGCUUUAAGGAGAUCUGUGCUGGAUUUGGGUGACUGUUGCUCAUCUGAAGAAUGACUCCAGAAAGCUGCAGAAAAUUCCAAAAAGCUCUGCUUUCAGUUGCAUGCUUAUGCUCUAGUGGAAAAAAAUGUACCAACAGUUACGUAGAUGGAAAGGGAAGUUGCACUUCCUAAGUGCUCUGGGAUUUAAGCAAAAUCGCCCUGGUAAAAAGAUCACAUAACAUACAACUUAUUCUUGGAAGCCCAGUAGAAAAAUAAGGACAUUAAGUUACUGACAUUGAAAGGCAGAGAGGUGAAGGCUUCACACCCUCAGGAAACUGAAGGGAAUGGAGCUGAGCUUCUGUGAAAGAAUGUAAGGUACCCACAGGAGUUUUCCUUUUGGCUGCCAAAGAGGGUGACUGGUGCCACCCUAUGUCCAGACCCAUCAGUAAAGGUCUGUGAGCCUGCCCAAACUUGCAUCGAGGGGUUACAUAAAUGACUGCCUUUCUCAUGUAGCUCUUGGCUGAAAAAUGAGUAGGAAAGGAGAACUACAAAUUUAGUUGAGAAUAAAAUUAUUUAUUUUCUUUCA